rnacentral:rRNA from 1 species
AUUGAACGCUGGCGGCAUGCUUUACACAUGCAAGUCGAACGGUAACAGGCCGCAAGGUGCUGACGAGUGGCUAACGGGUGAGUAAUGCAUCGGAACGUGCCCAGUCGUGGGGGAUAACGCAGCGAAAGCUGCGCUAAUACCGCAUACGAUCUAUGGAUGAAAGCGGGGGACCGUAAGGCCUCGCGCGAUUGGAGCGGCCGAUGUCAGAUUAGGUAGUUGGUGGGGUAAAGGCUCACCAAGCCAACGAUCGGUAGCUGGUCUGAGAGGACGACCAGCCACAAUGGGACUGAGACACGGCCCAGACUCCUACGGGAGGCAGCAGUGGGGAAUUUUGGACAAUGGGCGCAAGCCUGAUCCAGCAAUGCCGCGUGCAGGAAGAAGGCCUUCGGGUUGUAAACUGCUUUUGUACGGAACGAAACGGUCCUGGUUAAUACCUGGGGCUAAUGACGGUACCGUAAGAAUAAGCACCGGCUAACUACGUGCCAGCAGCCGCCGCCGUAA